UACGUAGGUGGCAAGCGUUGUCCGGAAUUAUUGGGCGUAAAGCGCGCGCAGGCGGUCCUUUAAGUCUGAUGUGAAAGCCCACGGCUCAACCGUGGAGGGUCAUUGGAAACUGGGGGGACUUGAGUGCAGGAGAGAAGAGUGGAAUUCCACGUGUAGCGGUGAAAUGCGUAGAUAUCUGGAGGAACACCGGUGGCGAAGGCGGCAUCCUGGACCAAUACUGACGCUGAGGAGCGAAAGCCAGGGGAGCAAACGGG
rnacentral:rRNA from 1 species